rnacentral:rRNA from 1 species
UACGAAGGGGGCUAGCGUUGUUCGGAAUCACUGGGCGUAAAGGGCGCGUAGGCGGCUUUGUAAGUCGGGGGUGAAAGCCUGUGGCUCAACCACAGAAUUGCCUUCGAUACUGCAUGGCUUGAGACCGGAAGAGGUAAGUGGAACUGCGAGUGUAGAGGUGAAAUUCGUAGAUAUUCGGAAGAACACCAGUGGCGAAGGCGACUCACUGGACAUGUAUUGACGCUGAGGUGCGAAAGCGUGGGGAGCAAACAGG